rnacentral:lncRNA from 1 species
GACAAAACAACAACGGAGGCUCAGAGAGGUUAUGGGUUUGCUCAGGGUGGCAGUGAUGCACCUUGAAGUUGCAAACCCAGAUCUGCGUGGCGCCUGGGUACAGCCUCCCAGGUCCUUCCGGGGUGUCGUUGAGGUUUCCCUUGAGGACCACGGGUUCCUGUAAGGCAGGGCCUGUUUCCCCAGAGUCUGCGGGUGCGUGGCACAGGCCCAGGAGCUGGAGCAGGAGCUGGUCCAGGUGAGGCUUCUCCUGCAGAAGUCCUGAGUCCUAAGCAGCUGAGGGUCUCCUGCAGGAGCAGGUGCAGGUAAGGUGAUGGCUCUCCCUGCAGGGAUGGUGGGUCCUGAGCAGCUCAGGGUCUCCCGUAGAAGCAGGCACAGGUGCAGGUGAGGUGAUGGUUCUCCCUGCAGGGAUGGUGGGUCCUGAGCUGGCUCUCAGCUUCCUUUAGAAGCUGCUCCAGAUGCCGGCCCUCAUCCCAGCACUGCUGAUGGAACCAAUAUCGGUGCUGCCUGCAGCUCUGGAGCAGCUGCUGCAGGUGGUACUACAGCUGAAGGUGGACGUUCCUCCGGCUCUGGAGCGGGCUUUACUUCUGCACUGGCUUCUGCACCUGUACCUGGCUCCUCAGAAUGUAGGGGAACCGGAGCUGGAGCCAGUGCGAAGUACUGAGAUGGUGCUGGAACUACAGGAGGAGAAAAGAUGCCCCCCGCCUGCUCUCCAUGUGCCUUCCCAAAGACAGAACACAUCCCAGAGCCUUCCAGAGAAGCUCCAGCCCAGGAACCCACAACACGACAUCUUUCCUGACCGCAGUCCGCCAGAGGGGUGGUCUGAGGCCAGUCUUUGCUCCAGGCCAACACUGCAGUCUGGGGGAUUCUUUCCUGUGUGUCCAGCACCAACCCCUCCUGAUAUGCUCACAUGUACCCACCCCAGGCUUUCUCACUCUUGGGCUCUGCCUCAGUGGGCUCCAGGUACCCCAGCGGGGUCAGGAGAAGUUGGACACGGUGCUCCAGGUCAGAGCCAGGCACACUGAGCAGCACCAUUGGCUGAUGUAGGCUGGCAAAGUCUGAGGUUGAUGGCAGUCUUCUGGGUACUGGUCCAGCCAGGUGCCCAGGAUGGAGGAGAUGGCACUGGAGGUAGGUGGGUGGGCAGGAGAGUUGGAGGCCUGGCCUCUCCUUCCACGUGGCCCUCCCUUGGCACCCCUGUGGGGGCUGGGCUCCUGGGCCCCCCUGCCCAUCCAGAGGCCAGUCCACCCCAGCCCACCCCCACGUGACGGUCCAGCAGGGGCAGGCCUGGUCAGCAGGCUGGCCUGCGAAGUCUCCAUGGGAGGGAGCCCUCCGUCAACGCUGGGACCACCUCUCCCUUCCUCGGGGAACCCGACGCACUCCUGCCUGUCCCCCGGCCGCUCCCCACUGGAAUGUCAACUCCACGAGGACAGGGAGGGCGGUGCCUGCUCUGUUCAUCGCACUGGCAGGCGCGCAGUAAGUGCUGCACGCACAUGUGAGGGAGGAGGGACCAGGCGGAGUGUGUCCUGCUGCCCAGCCUUCACGGGGCCCUCGUGGCACCUCAGCCUGCCGCUCAUACACCGCUGUGCUGUCUUACUCUCUGCGAGGCCUGUGUGGGUCUCGUCUCCCCCCUGACACUAUCCUUGGGAAUGGGGACACAGCCGGCCCAGCCCCACAUGCAGCUGGCCUUGCAGGACUGAGGCACCAGGCUGAUGCGUGAGCAGGUGGCUCCCCACACCUCCUUCCUGGGCCCUCGGCUCAGGGGGUGCUGAGCAGGGCUGGGAUGGGCUGUGGUGGGGUUGGAUUCUCUCAGGGGCCAGCUCUGAGGCCCCAGCCUCUUCUCUGCUCCACAGGGGGCCCGGGACCCCAUCUGCGGCUCUCUGACUCCUUUCCUUCUACAGGAGAAGCCUCCGUACCUCAGCCCUCUAGCAGGAAUCACGAAAUGCGUGGGAGCCAGGGUGUUAUGCCCCGCCCCCCAGCCACAGACCUCAGAUGUCCCCCACCUUGGAGACACAAGCCCUUCUUCUUGACUCAAAGCCCAGUCAUUUCCUGCUCGGUCCUGGGGUCUGCUGUCCUUGUCGCAAUCAGGAUGAAAGAAUCCACAUCUAGAGGAGGCCAGGAGGGCAUUGCAUACACCUGCUCUGAUGUCUAGUGGGACUGGCUGACUCCCCAAUCAGACUGGAGCCCAGGAGGACACGGGUUUUCGUGUCUGUAUAUGGCGGGUUGGGGGGCUUUAUAUACAUUUGCUGAAUGAAUGAAGCCCAACCAGCACCUUGCUGACAUCUGAGUGGGCCUGGGCCCCGGGCAGCCCCCAGGGCUCCCUGCUCUGCCUGCACCCAGGCUGGGACCCCCCCAGGGAAUUGGAAGGCUCCUUUAGAAAUGGGAAAGCAGCUGUGUCCAAGGCCACAGGGUGCUGAGGCUUGAGGCAGAGAGCUUCACGGGGGAGAGGAAAGUCCUAAAUCAGGACAACCACAGCCCUCGGCAGCCCUCCCCACAGGGCCAGGCCUGAGCAAACUGAGGCUCAGAGAGGUGAAGGGACACUCCCAAGACACACAGCCAGGAGGUGGGCAGGGAGCCACGGUGCUGUGCAGGGGCGGGGCGCCCACCUUUUGAACAGCAGGUCCAGGACCUGUUGGGUGGUGAAGGCUCGGCAGGUGCACAGGAGGAGGGUGACACAGGAGAGGUCGCUGCCCUGGAAGGCAGGCACCAGGCGCUCCACAGCUUCUCCAGGGUAUCUGCACUGACUGUCCCCACCCUGCGGGUCUCAUCCAGGUUCAAGGCCCACUCAUUUUCACACUGGGACUCAUUUUCGGACAAAGAGGGACAACUCAAAAAAUGGACUGUAGAAAAAUACUUGUGUUCACAUCCUGAAGUGCAACAGUGUAUAAAAGAUUGGUUCUGACAAUCUUGCAACCAUGUGAAAAGUGACUUUGCACCUGCCCAAGGCUGGGGCUGAACGGCGAGGGCAGAGGACGGGAGGAACUCAUACUCCAUGGGUUGGGGCUGUGGCCACUCAGGGGCAAAGCCCUUGGCAGAACCCUGGGUAGUCACUUGGGUGGCUUCUAGGCAAGAGGCCUUCCCCAGCCACCUCUGGGCCCUGGUUCUAGAGACCUCUCCAAGCCUGCACUCACCCGGAGCCACCCCGCUGGUGGUGUGGUACACCUGCCCCUCACUCAGGGAGACAGCGUGAGUGUCCCCAUCCAGUAGCUCCUCCCUGAUCUCCUGCGUGGAGCUCUGCAAAGACGGUGACCAGCAGCCGGCCCCCAGGCAUCAGAGCCCUGCCUGGCCUCAUCCCUGCUUCUUUUGCCCACUGACCUUCUGCUCCCAGAUCAGGCACAGACCUCCACCUGGGAUGAAAGAGAGACAUCUUGAGGGCUCAGGAUAAUCCUGGGACAGAAGAGUGAAACUCCAGCACUCCAUGUCCCGCCCAGCCAGCCUUGACCUGGGGUGUGAACUUGAUCUGCCCACCAGGCUUCCAACCCCUCAUCAUCCCUCUUGCUUGGGGCAAGCCCACCCCAAGAGCGCGCGCGCACACACACACACACACAUGGGGAGGGGAGGUGGGGCUGCCCAGGUGGGAUCAGAGUGGUGACCCGGCCUGGACUGGUCUGUCCUGGCUCUCCCCAUGUUACCUUUGGGUCCUUUCAGGCAAAUGGCCAGAAGCGUCUGAGGUGAGACCUGACAACGUCUGCAGCGUCGGAAGAUGCUCUCACUGCGGGCGUUUUUGAAGCCACAGCCUCGGGACAUGGGGAUACAGCAAGAGAGCGUGCUGCUCUCCAGAGCGUGUCCAGCCAAGUGAGCUGGGUAGGGAGCUGUCUCUAGGAUGUGCGUGUCUGGGGCAGACCCCGGGAACCUUGGGGACCCCCUGCCCAUCAGCGUGGCAUCUCUCCCCCUCCCCAUGCUAUGGGUCCCAGGCACAUGGCAGGGGACCGGCUGCCCCUGCCCCCUGGCAGAGCUGCCUCCACCUCCUGCUUCUUUCCCCUGUCACCUCCCAGUGUCCAUUUCCCUUCCAGACCCCACUCGGGCAGUCAGUGUGUGUGUGUGUGUGUGUGUGCGUGUGUCUGUGCCCAUGUGGGGAUGCCCAGAGGAAAGAGCCCCACAUAGGAGGGGGUGGGAAGGGGUCUCCCAGGAUAUUAGGGUCUCUCAUUCCCAAAGUAAAUCUUAUGGGAAGGUUGGAACCCUCCCUUCUCUGGGGUCUACCCAUCUUUUGGACCCCAGGCCAGACCCUGCCUUUCCCGGCCUCAGUUUCCCAAUUGUCUCAUGAAGGUUUGGAUGAGGAACAGCAUUAGUCCGGCUCAGCGUGGGCGGCCCGGGGCUCCGGCUCCCGGGCUGAGAGCGGCAAGAGAGCGCUCCCUGAGGGCGCGGACUUCCCACUAACUGGCAUGGACCCUGCGGUGGCGCGCGCACACCGGCCAACAGACAGCGCGCGCACGUGACCCCGCCCCACGGCGGGUUCGCCACAAAGCACCAACGGUUCCCCACGGGGCUACCGUUGUCCCCCUGGUACCCAGUGUCCCCAUCUCCAACUGCUGCUCUGUGACCCCCACGUCCCCUUUAGCCUGGGGCAACCCCCACCCCAGCCAGGCCAGCCUGCGGACUAGGAGCUGGGGACACGGGGUCCAGCCCUUUGAGCCUCUUCAUCUCCUGCUUUAAUCCCAGCACACCCUCCCGAGGGUGGAGUCACUGACCCCAUUCUCAGUGGAGGAAACUGAGGCUGGAGAACUCACCACAUGAGCUGGCCUGUCCCAGGGCCGGGGCAUGGCCCAGCUGGGGUCGCAACCUAGGUCAAUCUGACCCCAAAGGCUGUGCUUACACAGGAGCCCGAGGAGGUGCCUCUGAGCCCAGCCUUGGAGGUUCACACGGGUGAUGCAGCGUCACUCAGCCUCUGGAUGGAGAGCAGCAGCGAGGAGCUGUGCUCACAGACCCUGAGACACAGCGCCCGUGUGUGCCCGAGGCUGCCAAGGCGUGGUGGAGGCUGGGGAGGAGGAGGUGCUGCUGGAGGCCAAGCUGAUGCCAGAGAUCAUCGGGGACCAUGCGGAGAUUGGCUAAGUGAGAGGAAAUGGAUAAAUUCUGAGAAGCACACAAAGUACCAACACUGACUCAAGAAGAAAUGGAGAAUCUGAGCAGACCUACGAUAAGAGAAUAGGCUGAAGCAACGUAAGCACUUCCCAACAAAGAAAAGCCCAGGACCAAAUGGCUUCACUGGCCACUCGUCCCAAACAUUUAAAGAAGAGAUAACACAAAUCCUUCCCAAACUCUUCAAAAAGUGCCAGCGGAGGGAACACGUCCUACCUCAUUCUAUGAUGCCAGCAUUACCCUGAUUCCAAAGACCUUAAAGAAAAGACAACUGCAGACCAAAAUCCUUUAUGGAUAAAGAUGCAAAAAUCCUCAACAAGAUACUAGCAAACAGAAGCUAGCAGUGUUUUGGAAGGACUAAACAUCAUGACAAAGUGUGAUUUAUCCUAAAAUGCAAGGGCUGUUUAAUUAAUCAUUAAGUUAUUUUUUCCAUACAUCACAUCACUAAAAAACACACAAUCACCUCACUUGAUGCAGAGUAAGCUUUGAAAAAAUCCAAACAUUUUCAUGAUGAGUGCUCUCAAUAAAAUAGAAAGAGAAGAGAAUUUCCUCAAUGUGGUAAAGGAUAUUUAUGAAAAACUCAACCUGUGCAUCAUCUUCAAUGGUGAAAGACUGGAAGUUUUCUCUCUAAGGUCAAGAAUAAGUCAAGGAUUCUCCCUUGUGCCACUUCACUUCCGCAUUGGAAUGGAGGUUUUGUCAGAGUAAUUAGACAAGAGGAAGCACCCAAAUGGAAAGAAAAAAAAGAAAAAAUAGACAUGACAUGAUCUUAUAUGCAAAAAAUCCUAAGGAAUAAAAAAAAGAGUUGUACAAGACUACAAACAUUUUCAGCAAAGUAUCAGCAGAGAAGACCAACACUUGUGGAUCAAUGGAACAGAAUUGAGAAUUAAGAAAUAAACCCACACAUGUAUGGUCAGUUGAUUUUGAACUCAGAUAUCAAGAUCACUCAAUGUGACAAAAACAGUCUCUGCAAAAAAUGGUGCUGGGAAACUGUAUAUCCACAUGCAAAAGUGUGAAGUUGGAGCCUUACCUAACAUCAUACUAAAAAAUUAACUCUAGGGGCCGGCCCCGCGGCCGAGCGGUUGAGUUCGCGCGCUCCGCUUCUGCGGCCCAGGGUUUCACCGGUUCAGAUCCCGGGCGUGGACAUGGCACCACUCGUCAGGCCACGCUGAGGUGGCGUCCCACAUGCCACAACUAGAAGGACCCACAACUAAAAUAUACAACUAUGUACAGGGGAUUUGGGGAGAAAAAGCAGAAAAAAAAGGAAGAUUGGCAACAGUCAUUAGCUCAGGUGCCAAUCUUUAAAAAGAAAAAAUUAACUCUAGUUGGAUCGAAGACCGAAAUUUAAAAACUGAAACUGUAAUACUUUUAAAAGAAAAGUAAGAGAGCUGUGAGCAGCUCUUCAUGGCCUUGGAUUGGGCAGAUGUCUCUUAUAUGACACCCAAAGCACAAGCAACAAAAGAAAAAACAAAUAAAGUGGACUUCAUAAAAAUUAAAAACUCUUGUGAAUUAAAGGCCAAUCUCAAGAGAGUGUCAAGAAAACCCAAAGAAUGGUAGAAAAUGUUUGCAAAUCUGACAAGGGUAUUGCAUCCAGAACAUAUACAGAACUUCUGCAAGUUAAGAGCAUCCAUACGGGCCAACCCAGUGGUGUAGUUUUUAAGUUCACGAACUGUGCCUCAUCAGCCCAGGGUUCACAGGUUGGGAUCCUGGGUGUGGACCUAGCACCACUCAUCAAGCCACACUGUCGUGGCAUCCCACAUAAAAUGGAAGAAGAUUGGGACAGAUGUUAGCUCAGGGCCAAUCCUCCUCAAGCAAAAGGAGGAAGAUUGGCAACAGAUGUUAGCUCAGGGCCAAUCUUCCCCCCCCACACACAAAAAGAAUAUCAACACAAACAACGUGAUUAAAAAUAAUAGACAUUGGGAGCCAGCCUGGUGGCGUAGCAGUUAAGUUCGCGGGCUCCGCUUCGGUGGCCUGGGAUUUGCUGGUUCGGAUCCCGGGUACAGACCUGUGCACUGCUUAUCAAGCAAUGCUGUGGCAGGCAUCCCACAUAUAAAAUGGAGGAAGAUGGACACAGAUAUUAUCUCAGCAAAAAGAGGAGGAUUGGCGGUGGAUGUUAGCUCAGGGCUAAUCUUCGUAAAAAAAAAAUAAUAGACAUUUCUCCAAAGAAGAUAUACACAUGGCCCAUUAAGCACACGGAAAGAUGAUCAACAUCAUUAGAUAUUAGGGAAAUGCAAGCCAAAACCACGAUGACAUACCACUCCACACCCACUAGGGUGGCUAUAAUUUAGAAGAACAGAACAUAAUAACUGUUCAAGAGGAUUUUGAGAAAUUGGAAUCCUCAUCCAUCACCAGGGGGAAUGUAAUAUGAUGGAACCACUGUGCGAAAGAGUUUGACGUGUCCUCAAAAAGUUAAGCAGAGUGUUAUCAUUUGAUCCAGCAAUUCUGCUCCUCAUUGUAUAACCGAAAGAAUUGAAUACAGGUAUUCACAUAAAAACCUGUACAUAAUAUUCGUAGCAGCAUUAUUCACAAGAGCCAAAACACGGAAACAACCCAAAUGCCCAUCAACAGUUGAAGAGAUAAACAAAAUGCAGUAUAUUCACAAUGGGAUUUAUUCAGCCAUGAAAGGAAUGAAGGAUUGAGACACGCUACAAUGUGGAUGAACCUGGAAAACAUUAUACUAAGUGAAAGAAGCUAGACACAAAAGACCAUAUACUGUGUGAUUCCACAUGCAUGAAAAAUCUGAGAUAGCACAUCCACUUUACCAGGAGAAAACCAGCAGCGUUUGUGACUAAUGACAAAAGGGGAGAGAUGAGAGACGGCACCCCAGCCUGACAGGCAACGCAGGGCUGGAGGGAGGACAGGGGGCGAUGCGGGCAGCGCUGACCCUCUUGGCCCUGGGAUCUCCGUCCCCAGAGCCUUCCAGGUGCCCAUCAGCCCCUCCAGUGGUACCUGCGGAGCUCCUGCUGCAGGUGCAGAGCGCUCGUGCCUCAGGGACCAGCCGUUGUGUUGGGAGGAGCACCUUCUUCAUCUCAGCAACCACGUGAGACCAGAGCUAGAAGGUCCUUCUCCAAUCCUCCCAGUGGUUCUCACCUGGGUGCCCUGGGCAUGGGGUGGAGGGUGGGGACAAUGCUUCAGUCUGUGGCAUGUCCCGCCCCCCCUUACAUGACAGUGGUCUCCCCAACACCCCAGGCACUGGGUCAGCCCAAAGUGCCUCCAUGCAUUUCCCAAAGCCCUGGAGAGACAGUGCCGGCCAGGACGGGGGUGAAAACCUGGCCAGGUUCAGCAGGUAGAAGCUUCCAGGAACACUUUUCCUGACCCUGAGUCCAUGCCAACUGUACCUAUGAGUUGGGGGGCAUUGGUGACACUUCCUGCACCUCCAGUUCCCAGACAGACGUGGGGACAGUGCUCCUUCCAGGGCGGGGCUUCCGUGAAGUUAAGUGAGAUGGAUGCAGGUGGAGCAGGCGGCCCAGCACCUGCUGUCACGGUGAGUGGAAUCAGCACGGAAAGUCAAACACGGAGACACGGGGGGCCCUGCACCUCGGACUCUCCCGAGGACAUGACUGAUACAAUCCAGGCCUUCCCGCUUCUCUCAAAUAUGAGUGCCUGCCACGUCCUCCCCACAGCCCUGGGAGCUCGAUUCUUCCCACGUGGACCAGGGAGUUCUGGGUUCAGGGCCGAGCUGUUUCUGGAGCUUUCACAAGUGGGUGGGGGGAGGGAGGUCGCUGCUGCCUCCUGCUCCGGGCUUGGUCCAGGACCCCAGAGGCAGCCCUGAGCCGGACCGCCCGUGCUUCUGUGGCUGUGCGCCUUCACGCGUGGAGCCACGGAAUGGAGAAGGGGUCUCCGAGCCUUCAGCAGGCUUCUUCAACACAGCUUUCAGCUAGAAACCGCCCGGCACCACAGUUAGUGGACAUUUUUGUGGAUGUCACUCUUGAUUUUAAGACAAGCCACAAACUGGGACAAAAUAUUUUUAAAACACAUAUCUGGUAAAGAACUGGUAUUCGAAUAUACAAAGAACUCGAAACUCAACAAGAAAACAAACCACCCAAUUAAAAAAAUGGGCCAAAGAUCUGGACAGACACCUCACCGGAGAAGAUACACAGACAGCAAAUAAGUACAUGGAAAGAAACUGCCCAUCAUAUGCCACCAGGGCUUUGCAAAUUGAAACAACAAUGAGGUACCACUACACACCUAUUAGAACGGCUAAAAGCCCGAAUGCUGACACCAUGAAAUGCUGGCAAGGACGUGGAGCAUCAGGAAAGUCACGGCUGGUGGGAAUGCAAAACGGCGCAGCCACUUCGGGAGGCAGUUUGGUGGUUUCUUAUGAAAUUAAACAUAUCUUAACAUAAGAUCCAACUAUUGAGUUCCUUGGUAUUUUCCCAAGAGUUGAAAAUUUAUGUCCACACAGAAACCCACACAAGAAUGAUCAUAGUAGCUUUAUUUCAAACAGCCCCAAACUGCAAAGAACCCAAACGUCCUUCAAUAGGUGAAUGGUUAAAUGCACUGUGGUCCCUCCAGACCAUGGAAUACUACUCAGCAACAAAAAAGGACGAACUCUCCCUACACACAAAUCUCAGAAGGUCAC